CAGUCGCCACGGUAAUACGAGGGGGGCAAGCGUUGUUCGGAAUUAUCGGGCGUAAAGGGUGCGUAGGCGGUUUGGCAAGUCUUAUGUGAAAUCUUCGGGCUCAACCCGAAGUCUGCAUGAGAAACUGCCGGGCUUGAGUAUGGGAGAGGUGAGUGGAAUUUCCGGUGUAGCGGUGAAAUGCGUAGAUAUCGGAAGGAACACCUGUGGCGAAAGCGGCUCACUGGACCAUAACUGACGCUGAGGCACGAAAGCUAGGGGAGCAAACAGGAUUAGAGACCCCCGUAGUCCCUGUCUCUUAUAC
rnacentral:rRNA from 1 species